rnacentral:misc_RNA from 1 species
GCCGAUGACAAGCCUUCCCCUCUCUGAGGGGUGGUGAGCAAUCCAGUAGGCCGAGGC